rnacentral:rRNA from 1 species
GUAGGGGGCAAGCGUUGUCCGGAUUUAUUGGGCGUAAAGCGCGUGUAGGCGGCCUGGUAGGUCGGUUGUGAAAACUCGAGGCUCAACCUCGAGACGUCGACCGAAACCACCUGGCUAGAGUCCGGAAGAGGAGAGUGGAAUUCCUGGUGUAGCGGUGAAAUGCGCAGAUAUCAGGAAGAACACCCGUGGCGAAGGCGGCUCUCUGGGACGGUACUGACGCUGAGACGCGAAAGCGUGGGGAGCGAACAGGAUUAGAUACCCUGGUAGUCCACGCCGUAAACGAUGGGUGCUAGGUGUGGGCGGUGUCGACUCCGUCCGUGCCGAAGCUAACGCAUUAAGCACCCCGCCUGGGGAGUACGGCCGCAAGGCU